rnacentral:tRNA from 1 species
CAUUAAGAAGCUAUGAACAAGCACUAGCCUUUUAAGCUAGAGAAAGAGGACCCCCUCCUCCUUAAUGA